AUAAUAAUAAUCCCACCAUUAUUAUUAUUAUUAUUAUUAUUAUUGAUGUUGUUAUCAUCAGUGGUAGUUUCAUGAGCUGAUAACUGUAGUACAUAUUUAUAUGGAACCUGCAAUGUGCCAUGUUCCCUGUCCACGUGCUGCUCGUGCAGCAGGUGAUGGGCAAAGGGAGUUGUGGUUUUCUCUCUCUCCUCCGCAGUCGACACGUGCUCGCUCAUUGUGCGAACUGUCGCGUUUUCCUCAGUUACAUUGUGACGUCUCGACGUCUCGACGUCACGUUGUAAAGUCUGUGCGCUAGGUGUGCGGGUGGAUCCGUCCUACCGUCAAGAUGUCCGCUCAG